rnacentral:rRNA from 1 species
CCUAACACAUGCAAGUCGAACGGUAACAGGAAGCAGCUUGCUGCUUCGCUGACGAGUGGCGGACGGGUGAGUAAUGUCUGGGAAACUGCCUGAUGGAGGGGGAUAACUACUGGAAACGGUAGCUAAUACCGCAUAACGUCGCAAGACCAAAGAGGGGGACCUUCGGGCCUCUUGCCAUCGGAUGUGCCCAGAUGGGAUUAGCUAGUAGGUGGGGUAACGGCUCACCUAGGCGACGAUCCCUAGCUGGUCUGAGAGGAUGACCAGCCACACUGGAACUGAGACACGGUCCAGACUCCUACGGGAGGCAGCAGUGGGGAAUAUUGCACAAUGGGCGCAAGCCUGAUGCAGCCAUGCCGCGUGUAUGAAGAAGGCCUUCGGGUUGUAAAGUACUUUCAGCGGGGAGGAAGGUGUUGAGGUUAAUAACCUCAGCAAUUGACGUUACCCGCAGAAGAAGCACCGGCUAACUCCGUGCCAGCAGCCGCGGUAAUACGGAGGGUGCAAGCGUUAAUCGGAAUUACUGGGCGUAAAGCGCACGCAGGCGGUCUGUCAAGUCGGAUGUGAAAUCCCCGGGCUCAACCUGGGAACUGCAUUCGAAACUGGCAGGCUAGAGUCUUGUAGAGGGGGGUAGAAUUCCAGGUGUAGCGGUGAAAUGCGUAGAGAUCUGGAGGAAUACCGGUGGCGAAGGCGGCCCCCUGGACAAAGACUGACGCUCAGUGCGAAA